rnacentral:rRNA from 1 species
AUUGAACGCUGGCGGCAUGCUUUACACAUGCAAGUCGAACGGUAACAGGUUAAGCUGACGAGUGGCGAACGGGUGAGUAAUGCAUCGGAACGUGCCCGGUCGUGGGGGAUAACGCAGCGAAAGCUGCGCUAAUACCGAAUACGAUCUGAGGAUGAAAGCGGGGGACCGAAAGGCUUCGCGCGAUCGGAGCGGCCGACGCAAGAUUAGGUAGUUGGUGGGGUAAAGGCUCACCAAGCCAACGAACUGUAGCUGGUCUGAGAGGACGACCAGCCAAACGGGGACUGAGACACGGCCCAGGCUCCUACGGGAGGCAGCAGUGGGGAAUUUUGGACAAUGGGCGAAAGCCUGAUCCAGCAAUGCCGCGUGCAGGAAGAAGGCCUUCGGGUUGUAAACUGCUUUUGUACGGAGCGAAAAGGUCUCCUCUAAUACAGGGGGCUCAUGACGGUACCGUAAGAAUAAGCACCGGCUAACUACGUGCCAGCCGCCGCCGUAA